AGAGUUUGAUCCUGGCUCAGAACAAACGCUGGCGGCGUGUCUUAAGCAUGCAAGUUGAGCGGCAAGGAGGAGAGAUCCUCCCUAGAGCGGCGGACUGGUGAGUAACGCGUGGGUAAUCUAUCGUAGGCAUGGGGAUAGUCACUAGAAAUAGUGGGUAAUACCGAAUACGUUCCAUGAGGGGAGUAUUUAUGGAAGAAAGGGUGCUACGGCACUGGCCUUAGGUGAGCUCGCGUCCCAUUAGCUAGUUGGUGAGGUAAAGGCCCACCAAGGCGAUGAUGGGUAGCCGGCCUGAGAGGGUGUACGGCCACACUGGGACUGAGAUACGGCCCAGACUCCUACGGGAGGCAGCAGCUAAGAAUAUUCCGCAAUGGACGAAAGUCUGACGGAGCGACGCCGCGUGGAUGAAGAAGGCCGAAAGGUUGUAAAGUUCUUUUGCUAGGGGAGAAUAAGUGAGGGAGGGAAUGCCCUCAUGAUGACAAGGACUAGCGAAUAAGCCCCGGCCAACUACGUGCCAGCAGCCGCGGUAACACGUAGGGGGCGAGCGUUGUUCGGAAUUACUGGGCGUAAAGGGCAUGUAGGCGGCUUGGUAAGCCUGGCGUGAAAGACUGCAGCUUAACUGUAGGGAUGCGUUGGGAACUGCUUAGCUUGAGUUACGGAGAGGGAGCUGGAAUUCCUGGUGUAGGGGUGAAAUCUGUAGAUAUCAGGAAGAACACCGAUGGCGAAGGCAAGCUUCUGGUCGAUAACUGACGCUGAGGUGCGAAAGUGUGGGGAUCAAACAGGAUUAGAUACCCUGGUAGUCCACACUGUAAACGAUGUGCACGAGGUGCUGGGGCGGUAGUUUCAGUGCCGGAGCGAACGCGGUAAGUGCACCGCCUGGGGAGUAUGCUCGCAAGGGUGAAACUCAAAGGAAUUGACGGGGGCCCGCACAAGCGGUGGAGCAUG
rnacentral:rRNA from 1 species